UACUAGCCAAGUUGUUGACAAGCCCAUGCUGGGAAUGCCUUUGGCAUUUUGCCUGGGAAUGACAUUUAUCCGAGUCCGGGGCUUGAUAAGAUUCGUUGGCCACUUGGGCUCAUGAAUCAGCAUGGAAUUUCGCGAAAUUCCUGGCACUCCAUAACAACAUCAUCAAAGGCUGCAGCGCGAUUCCCAGGAGUCCUUUCAGCGAAACCGCCGCUAACUGAACGAUGUAAGAAUUACAGAAGUACCUGAAGAAGCAACCCCCUUCUGAAAACCUGAUGCUGUUUAUGGUUUUAAUUAAACGGGGGCAACAUUGGUGCGGCUCAUUAGCGGCAAUUUGUUGGGCAUGCUGCCGUCAAAUCGAAUCGGUAGCUCUUUUCACAGAAGCCACACGGUCCCCAGAUAACCCGUCAACCAAUCCCCAAUACCCAGUACCCAAUUCUGGAUAAGCUGACACCCAGGCUCGCCUUCGAGCUCCAGUUCCCGCCACAAAAACCUGCUAAUUAUGCAUGUGUGCUGUGACGGUUGUGUCCGCGUGUCCGCAUGUCCACAUGUCCGCGUGUCGGCGGGGUUUCUUCCACCAGAAUGGUGGCCUCACUCUGUUUUUUUUACCUUAUCUAUCAAAGCGUUGCGGGGCAUAAAAUUCAGAUUGACGCUCCGGCCAGUGAAAGCGUGUGAACUGAGCUUGAAACGUGGCAGAGACCUAGCCAGAGAUAUAGAUAUGUAGACCAGCAAACAGAACGGCUAUAUAAAUUAAACCAAAACCGCAAAUAAACAUGAGGUUUUCAAAUAGAGCGAGUAGGGAAAAAAACACUAAAGAUAAGGUGCAACAAAUACGAGGGAUUGUGGAGGGAAUAUGCAUGAAAUGUAAUUUAUUUAAACCGAUUUUGUGUACAAAUUGGUGUUUUAUUUUAUAAUACAUAAUUGGAUAAUGACUCA
rnacentral:sRNA from 1 species